rnacentral:rRNA from 1 species
UGGAUCCAGACUUUGAUUAUGGCUCAGGACGAACGCUGGCGGCGUGCCUAACACAUGCAAGUCGAACGGAGCAAGAGCUUCGGCUCUUACUUAGUGGCGAACGGGUGAGUAACGCGUGAGUAACCUGCCUUUCAGUGGGGGACAACGGCCGGAAACGGCUGCUAAUACCGCAUGAAGUUCUCGGGAGGCAUCUACUGAGAACCAAAGCUUUAUGUGCUGAAAGAUGGACUCGCGUCUGAUUAGCUAGAUGGCGGGGUAACGGCCCACCAUGGCGACGAUCAGUAGCCGGUCUGAGAGGAUGAACGACCACAUUGGGACUGAGAUACGGCCCAGACUCCUACGGGAGGCAGCAGUGGGGAAUAUUGGGCAAUGGGGGAAACCCUGACCCAGCAACGCCGCGUGAAGGAAGAAGGCCUUCGGGUUGUAAACUUCUUUUACCAGGGACGAAGGAUGUGACGGUACCUGGAGAAAAAGCAACGGCUAACUACGUGCCAGCAGCCGCGGUAAUACGUAGGUUGCGAGCGUUGUCCGGAUUUACUGGGUGUAAAGGGCGUGUAGGCGGAGAAGCAAGUUGGGAGUGAAAUCUAUGGGCUCAACCCAUAAACUGCUCUCAAAACUGUUUCCCUUGAGUAUCGGAGAGGCAAGCGGAAUUCCUAGUGUAGCGGUGAAAUGCGUAGAUAUUAGGAGGAACACCAGUGGCGAAGGCGGCUUGCUGGACGACAACUGACGCUGAGGCGCGAAAGCGUGGGGAGCAAACAGGAUUAGAUACCCUGGUAGUCCACGCUGUAAACGAUGAAUACUAGGUGUGGGGGGACUGACCCCCUCCGUGCCGCAGUUAACACAAUAAGUAUUCCACCUGGGGAGUACGACCGCAAGGUUGCAACUCAAAGGAA